rnacentral:lncRNA from 1 species
AUCUAUUUUUUCUUUGCCCCAGAUUUUGUCUACUGCAAUGUUACUAAGGAUUUUAAACAACAAAAGCUGAAAACAAAAUCUUCGUUGACCCUGGUUUUCCUGCCAGCUAACAUCCUAUUUUUUUCUUUUGCACUAAAGGCUUAAAAGCAUCUUUUAUGCCCUCUGUCUCCCUUUUUUCAGCUGCUAAAUUAUAUACCACAGAUGAACAAUACCCUUCAAUUUAAUUGGCAAGUCUAAGGGAAUUUGUGAAGUUCUCUUUUUCAUUGGCCACCGCCAGUCUACUUCCCCAGCCUUGGCAUUGUGCCUCCCACUUUGCCCCUUCACCAGUGUUCAAGCAUCCCCUUAUCUAGGAUGUCUUCUGAGUUGGUAUCAUAAUUUACCCAUCUUUGUACACAGGGCCUCCUGGGACUUCAACGGAGAGGAAAGUGUUGGAGGCCAGAACUAAGAGACCUGACUCAUCUCCUGGCCUCAGAUCUACAAGGGGGAAGCUCAUAACUUGACACAAAAUCCACAAAGACUUGGACAACAUGUGCUGGACAUUGACCAAUACCAGUCCAUACAUCCAAUCCAGUGUUUAAUGAGACUUUCCAGGCAAUGGAUAUCUUCAUUCAACAAAAAUUGUGCAGGGGUCAGCUCUGUGUUGGGCGUUAUUGCGCUAGGCACCGAGGCUAAUAUAAUUAAGACAUUGCAGUUUUCCUUAAAUUGCUCAGUAGCUUGUGGUCAGUGGACCUUCAGUGGAGGAGCAUAGAGCAUUAGUUACUGGUGAAUUACAGAUGACCUUGGGAUGCACUCCUCUUGUGGUUUAGGACCUGCUGGCAGGAUCCUGACGUCGCGGCUUGUGACAGAAUGACCCACAAGAAGGUGCCCAACAGAUCCAGACCCAUGAUCUUGAACUUCCUACUCUUUAAACUAUAAGAAAUAAACCUCCAU